AUUCCCCGCUGGGCUCCACUAUAGAGGAUUAUACAGGCAAGAUAAAAUGUUGCUCCAUAAAACUAACUUCAAAUCCUUCUCGAAACAGGUGUGAGAUUUCCCCCAGAGAAGGGGCAGUGAUGCUGGCCCCCGACAUCUCCCUCAGGACAGCCUCGGUCUCGCGGGCCAGUGAGCCCUGAGUGCAGGGUUAUAGGGCUGUGAGGAGAGGUGGAUGGAGCCGGACUGGGUGGAGGAGAGACACAGCCCCCUUCUGGACUGAGGAAUGACAGGGCAGCGUUCCCAGCCCCACACCCUGGAGGGAGCAGCGGCUGUCCAAGGCUGGGGGCUAGGGAGAACGAGGAAGUGCAGACCAUGGCUCUUUGCUGAAGAAAGCCUGCUGCUCUGCUCAGUCUGGGGUAGACUUCCACUGUGAGCCAGACUGACCUGCAGUGCUGGACAGGGCCCAUCGUAAGACAGUGGCACCACGUUCCCAUCCGGGCCCCACCAGUGAGUCUCGGGCCAGCUGGGUAGGGAGGCAAUGCAAGGAUGUAGCAGACCGGUUUGAGGAGGGGCCUGGAGACCCGACCUCAAAAGCUGGGAGGCCUUUGCUCAGACGGUCCUUGCGGAGAUGUCCCUGUCAAGGGCUGGAGCCUCAGGGAGAUGGUAGCAGCUCCACCACCCAGCAAAGCAACCACUGCCUAGAGCCCUGGGCACAGGCCUCUGUGGAGAGAGGUUAAGGGUACUCUUAAGAGCUGACUGGAGAAGAAAAGAGCAUUCCCAGUAAAGAGUAGGAAGAGUGGUUGCUCAUCCUCCCAUUCCAUGAGGCAUCUGACCAGCAUGCGUGAACAAAACAAGACCUCUCCACAGCAGGUCAGCGUGCUCAGCGGCACCUCUCUCCAGGCGGUCGGAGCGAUGGGGACAUCUGUUCCUUGUGCUUGGUGAAGGCUCCCUGGACAGGCCGGGUCAGCGACCUGCAGAGCAGAGAUGGGGUUGGGCGCUUUGAGCUGUCUGUGUGGGGGGAGGAGGCGUCCCCAGGCUGUUUAUCAGGAGCCAGCCUUGGGCAUGUG
rnacentral:lncRNA from 1 species